AUGAACGCUGGCGGCGUGCCUAAUACAUGCAAGUCGAGCGAACGGACGAGAAGCUUGCUUCUCUGAUGUUAGCGGCGGACGGGUGAGUAACACGUGGAUAACCUACCUAUAAGACUGGGAUAACUUCGGGAAACCGGAGCUAAUACCGGAUAAUAUUUUGAACCGCAUGGUUCAAAAGUGAAAGACGGUCUUGCUGUCACUUAUAGAUGGAUCCGCGCUGCAUUAGCUAGUUGGUAAGGUAACGGCUUACCAAGGCAACGAUGCAUAGCCGACCUGAGAGGGUGAUCGGCCACACUGGAACUGAGACACGGUCCAGACUCCUACGGGAGGCAGCAGUAGGGAAUCUUCCGCAAUGGGCGAAAGCCUGACGGAGCAACGCCGCGUGAGUGAUGAAGGUCUUCGGAUCGUAAAACUCUGUUAUUAGGGAAGAACAUAUGUGUAAGUAACUGUGCACAUCUUGACGUUACCUAAUCAGAAAGCCACGGCUAACUACGUG
rnacentral:rRNA from 1 species